UACGAAGGGGGCUAGCGUUGUUCGGAAUUACUGGGCGUAAAGCGCGCGCAGGCGGUCUUCCAAGUCAGUGGUGAAAGCCCGGAGCUCAACUCCGGAACUGCCAUUGAAACUGUGAGACUGGAGUACGAGAGAGGUGAGUGGAAUUCCCAGUGUAGAGGUGAAAUUCGUAGAUAUUGGGAAGAACACCGGUGGCGAAGGCGGCUCACUGGCUCGUAACUGACGCUCAGGCGCGAAAGCGUGGGGAGCAAACAGG
rnacentral:rRNA from 1 species